rnacentral:rRNA from 1 species
UCCGUAGGUGAACCUGCGGAGGGAUCAUUGCUGGAACGCGCCCCAGGCGCACCCAGCAAACCCUUUGUGAACUUAUACCUUUUGUUGCCUCGGCGCAUGCUGGCCUCUAGUAGGCCCCUCACCCCGGUGAGGAGAAGGCACGCCGGCGGCCAAGUUAACUCUUGUUUUUACACUGAAACUCUGAGAAAAAAACACAAAUGAAUCAAAACUUUCAACAACGGAUCUCUUGGUUCUGGCAUCGAUGAAGAACGCAGCGAAAUGCGAUAAGUAAUGUGAAUUGCAGAAUUCAGUGAAUCAUCGAAUCUUUGAACGCACAUUGCGCCCUCUGGUAUUCCGGAGGGCAUGCCUGUUCGAGCGUCAUUUCAACCCUCAAGCAUUGCUUGGUGUUGGGGCACUGCUUCUAACGAAGCAGGCCCUGAAAUCUAGUGGCGAGCUCGCCAGGACCCCGAGCGCAGUAGUUAAACCCUCGCUCUGGAAGGCCCUGGCGGUGCCCUGCCGUUAAACCCCCAACUUCUGAAAAUUUGACCUCGGAUCAGGUAGGAAUACCCGCUGAACUUAAGCAUAUCAAUAAGCGGAGGAA